GGCCUUCGUCAGGGAGGAGACCAAGAACCCGAUGGUCACUCUGACAAAGCUCCAGAGUUCCUCUGUGGAGAUGGGAGAACCUUCCAGAAGGACAACCCUCCCUGCAACACUCCACCAAUCAAGCCUUUAUGGUAGUGGCCAAAUGGAAGCCACUCCUAGUAAGAGUCACAUGACAGCCCACUUGGAGUUUGCCAAAAAAGGACUCAGACCAUGAGAAACAAGAUUCUCUGGUCUGAUGAAACCAAGAUUGAACUCUUUGGCCUGAAUGCCAAGCGUCAUACCGGGAGGAAACCUGGCACCAUCCCUACGGUGGAUGGUGGUGGCAGCACCAUGCUGUUGGGAUGUUUUUCAGUGGCAGGGACUGGGAUACUAGUCAGGAUCGAGGGAAAUAUAAAUGGUUCCAGACUGGGGCGAAGGUUCACAUUCCAACAGGACAACAACCCUAAGCACAGUCAAGACAAUGAAGGAGUUGAGAAUGUCCUUGAGCCAGAGCCAGAGCCCGAUCGAACAUCUCUGGAUACUUGAAAAUAGCUGUGCAGCAAAGCUCCCCAUCUAACCUGACAGAGCUUGAGAGGAUCUGCAGAGAAGAAUGGGACAAACUCCUCAAAUACAGCUUGUAGCAUCAUACCCAAGAAGACUCAAGUCUGUAAUCGCUGCCAAAGGUGCUUUAAAGUACUGAGUAAAGGGUCUGAAUACUUAUCAGCGUGACGUCCAAUAGGAGCCUCUCCUCGUACAGCGCCCGGAACCCUGAGGACACGCUUCCAUCAUGGACCUGGGACAGGUGAAGGAUUGAAGGGAUACGGAGAAUGAGAAACUAUGGAUUGGCAAAGCGAGCGAGAGAAUUUAUAAUUGUACCAGGGCGGACCCUAUGAAAAAACUACAAAUGGACACGUUAUGAAUGACGUCGUCAAGAAAGGACGG